GACGAACGCUGGCGGCGUGCCUAAUACAUGCAAGUAGAACGCUGAAGAGAGGAGCUUGCUCUUCUUGGAUGAGUUGCGAACGGGUGAGUAACGCGUAGGUAACCUGCCUUGUAGCGGGGGAUAACUAUUGGAAACGAUAGCUAAUACCGCAUAACAAUGGAUGACACAUGUCAUUUAUUUGAAAGGGGCAAUUGCUCCACUACAAGAUGGACCUGCGUUGUAUUAGCUAGUAGGUGAGGUAAUGGCUCACCUAGGCGACGAUACAUAGCCGACCUGAGAGGGUGAUCGGCCACACUGGGACUGAGACACGGCCCAGACUCCUACGGGAGGCAGCAGUAGGGAAUCUUCGGCAAUAGGGGCAACCCUGACCGAGCAACGCCGCGUGAGGGAAGAAGGUUGUCGGAUCGUAAAGCUCUGUUGUAAGUCAAGAACGGGUGUGAGAGUGGAAAGUUCACACUGUGACGGUAGCUUACCAGAAAGGGACGGCUAACUACGUG
rnacentral:rRNA from 1 species